rnacentral:lncRNA from 1 species
UGAAAAAUGCCUGAGUUGGAGUUAGCUAAAUGGAGGUGUGGUUGAGUGAGAGGGGCCAUGAUUAGCAAAAGAAAGAGCUUGAGCCAAGAGGUGAAAGCAAGAAAGUGUAUCCUGAAGGACAUAGAAGGGACAAGAGGCAGGAAGGCUUUCUCUGGUAUCCUAAAGAGUUUGGGCUUGACCCUGGAUGGAGAACUGCUAGGAGAAUUUGGGUAAGGCAAAGACACAACUAUUACAUUUUAGAAAAAAAUGAUACCACUGGCAAUACAGAAAAUGUAUCAAAGUUGAAGCCACUGGGUACAUCAUGGUUCAAGUCGCUGAGAAUGAGAACUGAUAGAGACCUAAGGGGGUGGCAAGUAGAGGGGAAUUCAUGAUGAACUCAGUUUGGAAUAUGUUGAAUUCACAUAUUCAGAGAAAUGUUUAGGGUAGUGGGGAAGACAAGAUUUGGGCAUAAGAGAGAGAAGAAAAAUUUGAGAGGUUGAGAUUGUGCAGUGCUUUAUCAUAGCAUGUAUGAUCUCUUGACACAUUCUUUAUUUCAUGUCUUCCCUGACUAGAAAUAAACUUCACGAGGGUGAGAACUUUGCUUUAUUUCCACCAUCUAGAACUGUGCCUGAACCACAGGGAGCACUCAGGAAAAAUUUACUGAAAAGAUGAAUUAUUCAGAAUUGUAGUUGAAAAGGUGUCUUCAGAGGAGUUUACUUACAUGCAGUGGACAUGAAAUAGGGCAUAGAGUGAAACCGUAGGCAAAACAUUGGGUGGAUAAUGUCAUUUGAUGCCAAAAAAGAAGCACUGAGGAAUUAGGAAAAACAAGAGAUAAUGAGGUCCCAGGUGACAAUGGAAGCAGUUGUGGAAAACUGCUUUAAAUGUCAUAGAGCACUCAGAAGGAAUUCAUAAAUGACCUCAUAAAGAAGUCCACUGUGGUUUCCCUGCAGAGGUGGGAAUAGAAUCAGAGUGCUAAGGAUUGAGGGAUUAAGAGGAGGUGAUUGUAUUAUUCCUCUUUUCAGAUAAUGGAGAGAGAGAAGAGAACAGCAGUAGCCGUUGCCAGAAAUAUUGAGCAAGGCGGAUUUAUUAGAUGAAGAUAUCAAAAUACUUUCCAUUGAGGAAACAGGUUGGAGGUGGGAGGCUGUAACCAUGCUUGAUUUUGUACCACCCUAACCUUUGCUUGUAAGUAUACUUUUUGAAAACCCAUUUUAUUGAACUGAAAUGUAUUUUGUUCUGAAGGGUUGAAAAAGGCUAAAGAAGUGGGAAGGAAUUUUUGUUAAACCUUAUACAAUAAGGGAAAAUUUUCCAGCAACAUGGAAAGACAUCAGAAUUGAAAUCCUAGUGAACUACUAACUAUGUGAAAUGGACAAGUGGCUUAUUAUUCCAAUUUUACAGAAAAGAAAAAUGAGACAUAAAUGUUAACAUCUAUGUGUAUGAUGAUUACGUGAGAUAAAUUUGGGUCUCUAUUUUGAGUGUUUUGUGGGCAGGAAUGGAUUAGGACUUUCUAAAAUAUUAAAUGGGCCAAUCUAAAUAUGUGAUCAAAAUUUUUCAGAGGUAUAUUUUGUGGUAUUUACAGCAAGAUGAGAAUGUAUUUUAAAUUGAUCUUUGAUCAUAUUUUUAUCUUUUAAACAUGUUCUGCCUCAUUUUCUCUGUAAUAAUAACUAUAAUUAUAUCCAUUCCUCAUUAUAAAGCUGCUCUUUUUUCUUUUCUGACAUUCUGCCUUCAUCGACUAAUGGUGGUGAGGCUACUACCUCCUGAGGUUACUUAUAAAAUUAAAGCGAUUGGGAAGGAAUGUUACAUGCAGUCCACAUUGUAUGUGAUACCGAGAGGAGACAGGAGGGCAGAGUCCCUGAUGAGAGCUCCACCCUUAAGCCUGGACCCGUGGCCCUGAAUGAGAACAGGCAUUGCUGCUUUCCUGCCCAAAGGCUGCUUUUUCCAAAACCACCGUGGCCCACCAUGUCCCCUAUCCUGUACCUAUAAAAACCCCAAACUCCACUGGCAGAGGAAUAGAGUGGCACAGCAGAGAAGGAAAGAAUAGAAGUGUCUGAAUGUCAAAGAGGGAGCUGGACAGUCAGAGAGGAGUUUGGCUGGGGACAGCUGAGCUCCAGGGGAAGAUCAUCUUCCCACUCCAUCCCCUUUCCAGCCCCCCAACCCACAAAGAGCCACCUCCAUCAUUCAGUAAAACCUCUGCAUUCACCAUCCUUCAAGUCCAUGUGACCUGAUUCUUCUUGUACUCUGGACAAAAAUCCAGGUUCCAAGAGGGCAGGGUAUAUGUCACCCUGAUUCUCCACGGGACUGUUUAACACUUAGCCCUCUGUGGACAGCAACUGCUAAAAGAGCAUUAAUUGUAACACAUGCCCUCUGGGGCUCCAGAGGUUGUGCGCAACUGCUAGAUGCUGCCCCUGGCGCCCAAAGGCACUAGCCCUGGUUCCCAUACCCACUUACCUGCAUGCUCCCACUCCUGCAAGGGGCUUGAGUUCAGCAACAAAGCAAAACAAGCUACCACCAACCCUCCACACCCUCCCUGUGGCAAGACUCGCAAGAGGGUCAGGGAACUCUCCCCCGUCAUAUGCGUUAUUCCAGUUUAGUUACCUACAAAAUAAACUUGCCAGAAUUAGUGUUUACUACAUAAGCUAAGCACCUAUUUCAACAUGUGUGAGCUUCUAAAAAGCAAAUCAAUGCUCUUCUGUCCAAUUUUGGCCAAGGCUUCAUGAUCUCUUUCCUUAAAACAUCAACUUAAAUUUUACCAUUACUUUUCUCUCUUCCUUCCCCUUAUCCUAUUUAACUAUUAUUAGAGACAUUUUAAAAAAAUUCCUUUCCUUUUCCAUGCUUGGUUUCCUCAAUAGCGAUUUUAUAUAGAAAACAUUUGACAUUAUAGUCUAGCUUUUCAUAGUUAAAAUUAAAUAUUUCAUUAAAAAGAGGAGUCUAUUUUUUCAGACUUGUAGGGCUCUGGGAAGUGGACUUAUGAAAAAAAUGACUUUGUAUUUAUUUACAGAUAAAUAACCAUGUGUCUGUAAUUAGUAAGAGAUCCACUGUAUGUAAUUUAUCUUUUUCUUAUGUGUUACCUGUUAAAGAUGACCUUGUGUUUCCCGACAUGCUGUCAAGUGAAAGAUUUUGUAAGAAUCCUUCUAUAUUCCUACAUUAUUUUAUUGCAUUGCUCAUCAAUUUUGCAUUUUCUCCCUCUCUUAUGAUCCUAGCCUUUCCUUUAUUAGAAGUAAUUAUCUAGUUCAUAGAAAAUUGUUUAAUUUGGUUAUUUUCAUUACUUCAAAGAGAAAUUCUAAUGUAGAACGAUUUGUUUAUAUAUCUCUUGCAGACUCAAAAUACACACCACUAUUAUAAAAACCUUCCCUGCCUAGCUCAUAUUUCCCCCGACUCCUACCCCAUGGUUCCCUAGCUUAUUGAAUGUACUCAUAGCAUCUCUUUUAGUCUGUAUUGCUAUCAUGUGUUUUUCUAAUCUGUUCCCCAUAGUAACAGUGAAAUCCUUGAGGGCACGAGUCUUAUCUUUUUCAACUCUAUUUUCAGCACCUCGCAUUGUGAGUUGGUGUAAGUAGUUCAGUAAAUAACUGUAGAUGUCAAAAUAAAUAAAUGUCAGCUAAUUUUUAUGUAUAUUCAAAGAUAAAAUUUUAUUUAUUGUCAUAAUUACCUUUACCCAAUCUAUUUUUUAUUGUUUGUUUCAAAUUACACCAAUAAAAAUGUGACAAUAACCAUGCUCAUCCUUAGACUAACACCAAUGUUUAGAAGCAGUUUCACCAUAUAGUUCCAUUUUUAAAAAAUUCUAAAUAUUUGCUAUAUUCUUUAAUUGAGUCUUCCCAAAGCAAUCUUUGAACUAAUUGUUGGUUUCUCAGAUUUCUAUUUUGUUAUCUUUAAGACACUCUUUAAAUCUCAUCAAAAAUCUUCAUGGAAAUUAAUUACAUUGUACCCAAACGUUAUAAAAUCUUACCAUUUAAAGAUACUUUAGAGUUCAUUUGAACUAUUCUUCAAAGAAUUAGCAAUGAAGUUCUUUUGGAUUGAUUGAUAUUCAUGUACCCAAGAAAGAUAGGUAGAAUAUUAAUUCAUUUUAUUAUUUCCAAAGAGAAGGUGUGAAAAUAAACUAGAACACAGUUGAGUUGGCAGAACUGAGUUUGUGUUUACAAAACUGAAAAGGCUGGACCACAAUGUGGUUUACUGGUGAUAUAUUAAUUUAGAUAACAAUUAAAUCUCGGAGACUUACCAUAUUGAAAGUUUAUUUUUUGGUUUACACAAAUCUGAUAUACUGGAUAGGGGCUUUUCUCCUUUCAUUUACUCAAGGAUCCAGGUUCCAGUCCAAUAUGCACCAUUCAGCCUGGUUGCAGCAUGUUAAGCAGCCCUGGAGGCAGCAGAUGAGGGAUCCUAUGAAGCAACUUUCAGACAUUCAGAACCAAGACAAAAAAAAAGAGAAUUAAAGUAAAAUAUGAUGUACCCAGGAGUUACAUCAGUGAACCAAAUACAGCCUCAAAUUUCGAUCUGUGCUUCACAGCAGCCAGCAAAAAGAACAAAACAUAUUUUGUUAGUUCAUAUAAAUAAAUAAAUUAAAAAUGCAUGAAUAAAUAAAUAAAGCAAACCAGUUUCUCGAUUCUGAAAUAUUUUCUGGAAGUGAGAACUGAAAGGAAUUUCCACCAUGGACCCACAAGCAGUUGUUGGUGGCAUAUAUAAUGAGUGCUGGGUGUUAAGGAAGCAAUGGUGAAGGAGAGACACCCUCCCGACCCUCAUGGUGCUUGCAGCCUAGUGGAGCUAUGAAAAGAUAGGCAAGUGAGUCCUAUGAUUGGAGAAGUAAUGAGAAGUAAUGAGAAGCGUCUUCUAAGCAUAGGGGUAAAGACUGCAAAGACCCUGAAGGGAGAAAGUAAUGGCCAUUCUGAGAACUGAAAGUUUGCACAGUGCACAGAGGGCAUGAAGAACGAAGGAAAGAUGGCAAGUUGCUUAAAACCUAAAGCUCCUUUCAAUUCUUUACAAUCCAAGAUUAUAUGGAAUGGACUGGGAACAAAGAGAGGGACUGGCAUUUAAAGUCUUUUAUACACUUUGGAACAAAUGUUAUUCUCCAUUCAUCCUGACACUAAAUUGGUUAGCCAAACCCAAAGAUCUACUAAUAAUCCUGCUUUGGCAUGGGAGAAUGAGUGAGAUAAGGAGGCAAUAGAGGAGAUGAAUCGACAAAUGGAAGGAAUAGAAUUCUGGUUGAUGUCCUUGUCUCUAAGCUGUAGCAGCAAGUAUUUAUCCUAAUCAUGUGGUGUUAGCACGGAGAUGAGAAAGAGAGAAAGACAACAUCAUGCUUUGCUGUCUGUGUGUGAACUGAGUAACAGCUGUGAAGGAUCAGUCACCAAAAGACUUUGAAAGAAGAGGCUUGAUUGGUCACGGUAAUGAUGCUCCCCUGGCCAUGGAAGUUUAAUUGGGAGAAAAGAACAUCUGCUUAUACGAAAACAUAUUAUAUUCAGCCAUCCCUGCCCUGACUUUGGCCUUUAAAAACAGUGGCAUUAAUUAUCUCAACAAAUGAAUCUUCGGGAUAAAAAUAAUCUAAAUAUUAUUUUACGCUUACUACAUAUUUGCAACGUGCUAAGCUCUUUAUGGUUGCUACCACAAAAAACAUUUAUAAUAUGAGGUGGGUAUUUUUAUUAUAUACAUUUUCAGUUUAAAGACAGUAACUUCAGAAUGUAACUUGUCCUAGUCACACAAAAGCAGGUGUGGACUAAAACUCAAACCCAUGAUUCUUUCACUUUAAAUGAUAUGGUUCUGAACCAUUAAAUUCGAAUGCUACUAAGAAUGGUGAAUGCUAAGCAAUGUUAAGCUACACAUUGUUAUUAUUAACAAAUAAUUUCAAAAGGGCAGGAGAGGUAGGUUAAAAAUUAAAGGGUUAAGCUGGAAUAACAUGUCAAAUUUCUCAGAGUUUUUUAUUUUCAUGAAAAAAUAUAUUUUAUAUUGCAACAGAAUGAACUUGACUUAACAGUUUAGGUAGCUGAUUGCAUAUAUUUUGAUAGUCCUAUCAUAUUUCCAACAAAUACAUUUUCUCCCCACCCCACCUGCAACUGGAGACUUCACAAGGUUAGGAACAGGCUUCACUUCAUUGUGAUGUGUGUAAGGUGACAGAGGACAUAUAACGAAUACGUGGAAGAACUAGGAAUUUGACCUUAGCUUCCAGACAUUUUGAGGAGGAUACACUAUGUCCAUCUUGCUUUCCUAUCAAGAAAAGUAUACCCAGUUUGUGCAGUAGCCCUGUACCAACAGAUACAUUACAGCAGGUUGUUUCCGUAUUUUGGCUAUUGUGAAUAGUGCUGCAAUAAACAUGGAAGUGCUGAUAUAUCUUUGAGAUCUUGACUUCAAACAAAAGAAGAAAAUCUUGCAAUAUAUGACAACACGGAUUAACCUGGAGGACAUUGUGCUUAGUGAAGUUAGCCAGUCACAGACUGACAAGUACUGCACGAUUCCACUUAUGAAGACUACAGUUCCUAUCUUCACAGGUGGCUGUUAGCUCUAAAUGAACUCAUUUAUUUUGAAAGCAUGAUUUAAAGUAUAGUUUUAAACUAUAAGCAUUUCAGAAGUGAUGACCCAUGACUCAAAUCUCAAAAAUAAAUGCUACAGUUCACAGUUGGAAUAUGGACACAAGAAAAAUAAUAGGUGAGUAAAAAAAGAAUUUUUACCACAGAACAAAAGUUUAUUAAACACAAUUAUGAAUGAAUAUUAAUGUCAACAGAGUGCUUUUUAGAUGCCUCCUAAGCUUUGUAUGCACCUAAAAGAGAUACAAGUCAGCUCAGCUGCUAAGGAAUAGGCAGACCAGAAUGCAGUCAGAGAAAUAAACAGUUGAACAGAUAAUUCCAAAAGGAUGUGAUAAGUGUUAUGGGGGGAAUUCGGAGAAAGUGCCGAGGCAUCACACAGGAGAGACCAGCUGUCCCUGGCAUAGCUGGUGGAGAUCUUAUUAAACAACGAUACUAAGGCUGACUCUUGACUAUGAAACGAAUUUCACAGAGAAACAAGCAAAAAAGCAAUAGAAAUAUUAAUUUGUGUACCCUAUUUCAUGACAAUUAUAUACAAAAACAGAACGUUCAAAGCCUUAGGCAAUAAAACUGAUAUUUCUUGCAACAGGCUUUGGCCAAAAAAGAGUGCAGUUCUGUGAUGAAUAUCAGCUUCAUCAACAUGCCCCAGGCACCGUGAUGUCCCUCCUCUGCUCUGCUGCAUAACAGGGUGGAGACCAAAUCCAACAGUAUGAACAAGCAUCCAUCAAAACCACAGUUCUAUUAUUGAGACCAUUUCUGAUUGAAUUUCCUCAGCAGACUAUCCAAGUCGUCAUGUUCAUCAAGGUAUUCAAUUUAAAUGACCAUUAAAACGAAAUUAAGUUGGUAUUAACCUUGUCUUUUCAGAUGAUGCCACUGAAAGGUAAACAUACCAUUCUGACAUGCAUGAAAAUGAAACGACAAAUUGAUACACGCAGUGCUUGGAAUGGAUGGAGUCCUUCUAAUGAGUGAUUACCUGUGGUAUAACUAUAUUGAUUGUGUUUGUACAUGUCAAAUGGGGCUGGCGAGGAUGAACUUGAAGAAAUCAAUCUUGGAACCUGCUAGGACAGCAGCCUCCUGGUUUCACAGUACUAAAUCAUGACUUCAAAAUUUUGAAGUAAAAGAAAACUGCAAAACUUUGUAAAGGUACCAGUCUCUUCCUGACACUAUUUGCCUUGGCAAAAGAUUCACUGUCAACUUAAAAGACUAACAUGUGCUCAGAUGAUGAUUUGUGGAGGACAGAUAAUUAUGAGUACAUUUAGAAAUACACACUCUUCCAAACCCUGCUCUUUCCAUAUAAUGAAGUUAUUUAUUUCUAUUUUUUAUUUAUUUUUCUAAUAAUUACAAACAUACUUUGGAGACCCACAUUCCUGUAUUAUUCUUUCAACAUACUGAAGAAGAGUUAUUUCUAUGCUUCUUUCUAUGUGUUGGGCUUAAGAUUUAUUAGAAGGAAUGUGUAAAAACAAAGGCAGCAAAGUUUCUAUUUUUAUUGGGAGUCACUCCCGGAGUAAGUGGGGAUAGUUGUGCACACACACACACACACAUUCAUGCACAAAGAAAGAGUGAUCAAGUGUAUAACACACUUUUAGCAGUGUUUUGCUGGAAGAAUAAAGUAUAACUCCUUGUCCGCCCUUUUAUUAUACUGGGGUUCACACUAAGAGAGUCUGAGGACCUGUGGAACUCCCAUUUGCAUGAAAUAACUUUUGCAUCUAUUCUGGAGGAAAACUUCCUAAGGCAGAUUUGGACAGAAAAUUGCUAUCAGCGCAAAUAAAACAAUGCAAAGCCUACUCCGGGGAACGUUGCUCUGCCACCACUACUGAAAUGGGUCAUCCCCUUGGUUUCUGAAUAAAGAAUUAUGAAACCUGGGGCUAGAAUGCUCAGGGAGGAAUUUACCAAUCCAAAUCUUCCCCUUAUGGUAGAGAACAAACUUUCAAGGUUUGUUCUCCACUGUAAGUGUGCGAGGGCUGUUAGGGACCGUAAUAUGGCUGCCGGAGACUGGUGUGUGUACCUCCUUGACUGUACGUCUCAUUUCCAGUUAUGAUUUUACAAUCAUCUCUUUCUCAACCUUUGCUUUUAAAUAUAGGAAGGUACGGCUCACCAUGGAGCGGACAUUUUCUUCAGGAGCGGUACGGUGUCUAAGAUAUGCAGAGGUUGUAUUCUAGUCCUAUAACUCAAUUCUCAAACACAUGGCUUUUAGCCAGGGAUAUCCUAAAGGAAAAUUACACUAUAUGCAACCCCUCCUUACUCCUCAAAUAUUAUCUAUAUUAAACACAGCUGAAAUUUGAGAGUGUCCUUACAGGUGAAAAUUUAACAAUUUAACAAAAGGACACUGCUGAAUGUGUGGGGACAAAGGAAGGAUGAAUCUUUCAUCAUGACAAAAGACUACUUGCCACAUUCUCCCUUAACUUAGAAAAACAGAAAAGAGGCUGGGCGUGGUGGCUCCUGCCUGUAACCUCAGCACUUUGGGAG